CCCAGUCCAGAGUGAACUUCUGUGUUAAGACUGUUUUCCCAAUGCCAGCCACUCCCUUUGUCAUCACUGUUCUGAUUGGUUCAUCUCUUCCAGGUGAGGCUUUAAAGAUGUCUUCUUGUCUGAUGGUUGUUUCUGGUCUGUGUGGUUUCCUGGAUGCUGUUUCAAUCUGUCUGACCUCAUGUUCAUCAUUGACCUCUGCAGU